UACGUGGGGGGCGAGCGUUGUUCGGAAUUAUUGGGCGUAAAGGGUGCGUAGGCGGUUUGGCAAGUCUUGUGUGAAAUCUCCAGGCUCAACUUGGAGUCUGCACGAGAAACUGCCGGGCUUGAGUGUGGGAGAGGUGAGUGGAAUUCCUGGUGUAGCGGUGAAAUGCGUAGAUAUCAGGAGGAACACCUGUGGCGAAAGCGGCUCACUGGACCACAACUGACGCUGAUGCACGAAAGCUAGGGGAGCAAACAGG
rnacentral:rRNA from 1 species